GUUUCGCGUCCUUAGAUGCCGCCUUCUGUUGUUCCGCGCCGUUUUUUAUAGGUCGAGCAGCCGAAGGGCCUCCCUCGCGUUCACUGCCCGCCCGUGCGUGAGGGAGGAGGGAUAGGCUGGGCCGGGUUGGGUUAGGCAGGAGGGAGGGGCUAUAUGGUGGCCCUUUGAACGACUCUAUUGUCGCCUCCACCUCUGUUUCCCCCCUCCUAGCCUCCUAGCCUGGCAUGGCGGGACAAACAAUUGAGUGGGCCGUUAGUAUCAGGUCGCGGUCGCUCAUUUCUCCCUCUCUUUGGGAGGGGAGGAGGAGCAAGAGCACGGGAAAUAGGGGGUAAUGAGGGUCGGGUGGGACUGUCUGCUUGGAGCACGUGCCCGCCUCGACUCUCCCUCUCCCUCCUCUCCUCACCGCCGGAUCCCUCCCCCUCUCCCUCUACGUCGCCGCCGCCCGCGUCUGCACCCGCCCCCACCCCUUCUGCCGCGUCCGCCGCCGCCGCGUGCGGCGCGAGAAGACGAAGUGCGAGGAGGAGCGCGAGUCCCAGCUGCCGGCGUGGCUGAGGAGGACCACCUAAUAUAAGUAGGGCGACACCGAUAAAGUACCUCACCGGCGGGCACCUUCCAAAAGUUACGGUCGGGGAAGUAACGGAGUACCCGCAGUAACCCGAGGAACAGUAAGACAACAACGUCGUGGUAACGAUUAGCGGAAGCUCGACGAAGAAACGUAUAUAGAACUUUCAAAUUCUCAAUUCUUAGUAGGUCGACAACUAUACUUCUAGCACAAGGAAGGAGACGACUGAAAACUUCACUAAUAGGAACAACUGUUAAAAUCUUACACAUUUCGAAAUUACGGUCCCCUACUUCUUUCGUACUCGCUGCUUCGAUAAACCCUCUGCGAAGGAGUAAAGACCCAGCGUUAGAGAUACCACAAAGAAUAUCGACGCUGUUGGAAGUGUGAAGAGUUCAAUAGACCACUACAACCACGAAACCCUACCACCCUAAAUAAAUAUUUAAUACCCUAGCGUCUCACAAAACGAAAAGAACAAACAUGUUCUACCAAAUUAGGGUACUAAGUAUCCGGAGGAUGAGUACCCCUCCGAUCGAGUAGUAGUAGUCGAUAAUCUAUAGCACUAACCCUCUCACCAGAACAGGAGGGUAGUGACCUUCUGGUACUUGUUCUCUCCUAAACACCGGAAGGUCUGUAUCCUCCAGUAGAGUACUUUUAUGGCGACCACCAAAAGGUUCAAAACGAAACAUACGCCAACCUCCCAUGUGGUGGAUCGCGAGCGAUGUAAGGUUAUAAACGAGAAAAGAGGGGUGAUAAAUAAGAUGUUCCUCGACCACAGGAAAAGAGCUAUCCUUCUAACCACCUCUUUCAACAAGACGAUAACGCGUUACCUGGUCAAUCAGGCUUAAUGGAAUGUCAUAGUAGUUUUCAGGCACUAAUAAAGCGAAAAGAAGUAGUGCCCAGUUCCGAAGAACCAACCACCAGAUAACUACUUCCCUCGUUUCUUCUCGUUCGAGCCGACAAAAUAUGACUUAGAUUGCCCAUGUUAUGUAAGAGACCAAUGGGUGGACUCCAUCAUUUCUUUUACGGGUUCUUCCUAAAUCGUCUUCUCCAAACCUCUGAGGUCCGUCGCAACCCCCUCGUUAGACUUUAGUGGUUCAGAUGGGUCGUCCUUAUACUUUCCGAAGUUUUACUCUUCCAUGAAACAUCCUAAACGAUGCUCCCUCUUUAUACGUACCAGUAUGAAGGGACGGCCGUGUCUUGCAAUACGUUCAGUACACGACUCUUCACGUUUUCUACAGGUUAGACGGCAUUGGGGUAGCUCCUCGCGUACCGACAUAUACUACAAAUUUGGAACGAUUGAUUCGACUUGUAACGUUUAGACAUGUACACCCGACACACUACACGUAUACACGAGGCUAGUGUUGAAAUUCGACUAACUCCAGACGUGUUGAGGUCUUUUCAAGUCGUUAUACCUCUUUUAUAUAGAACAGAUUGGUUUUCCUUCCUUUUCUAUCGACGACUCGUAAAAGCCCAAGGUCAAUACAUGAUAGUCAGAUCUCAUUUACAAUUCCAUAGACCUUACCGUAGAGUACCUUGUUUCACAGAUAAACCAGAUAACAAGGUGGGCCACUUCGCACCGAGGAGUGCAGCACUUCCCUAAUGCGUAUGCAGACCGACCCUACAUGUCAUCCUUGCUUAGACGUUUUCCGACAACCAAACGCACGCGUGUAUAGUGGCAUAAUGGACGUGUGUUAAGACCACCACAACCACCGAGCCCAAAUAAAACAGUACAGUAGAGAUUACAAUC
rnacentral:rRNA from 1 species